rnacentral:rRNA from 1 species
AGAGUUUGAUCCUGGCUCAGAUUGAACGCUGGCGGCGUGCCUAACACAUGCAAGUCGAGCGGUAACAGGCGUAGCAAUACGUGCUGACGAGCGGCGAACGGGUGAGUAACGCUUCGGAAUCUGCCCAAUGGUGGGGAAUAACCAGCCGAAAGGUUGGCUAAUACCGCAUGAGCCCUACGGGGGAAAGCGGGGGAUCGCAAGACCUCGCGCCGAUGGAUGAGCCGAAGCCGGAUUAGCUAGUUGGUAGGGUAACGGCCUACCAAGGCGACGAUCCGUAGCUGGUCUGAGAGGACGACCAGCCACACUGGGACUGAGACACGGCCCAGACUCCUACGGGAGGCAGCAGUGGGGAAUAUUGGACAAUGGGGGAAACCCUGAUCCAGCGACGCCGCGUGUGUGAAGAAGGCCUGCGGGUUGUAAAGCACUUUUAGUGGGGAUGAAAAGCUCAGGGCUAACACCUCUGGGUCUUGACCUAACCCACAGAAAAAGCACCGGCUAACUCUGUGCCAGCAGCCGCGGUAAUACAGAGGGUGCAAGCGUUAAUCGGAAUUACUGGGCGUAAAGCGUACGUAGACGGUUGGAUAAGUCGGAUGUGAAAGCCCCGGGCUCAACCUGGGAAUGGCAUUCGAGACUGUGCAGCUAGGGUGCGGAAGAGGGAAGCGGAAUUUCCGGUGUAGCGGUGAAAUGCGUAGAUAUCGGAAGGAACACCAGUGGCGAAAGCGGCUUCCUGGUCCAGCACCGACGUUCAGGUACGAAAGCAUGGGGAGCAAACAGGAUUAGAUACCCCGGUAGUCC